rnacentral:rRNA from 1 species
UUUUAGAAUUUAAUUUAAAGUCUAACCUGCCCACUGAAUAAUUUUAAAUGGCCGCAGUAUUUUAACUGUGCAAAGGUAGCAUAAUCAUUAGUCUUUUAAUUGAAGGCUGGAAUGAAUGGUUGAAUGAGAUAUUAACUGUUUCAUAGAAAUUUUAUAUAAAAUUUUAUUUUUUAGUUAAAAAGCUAAAAUAUUAUUAAAAGACGAGAAGACCCUAUAAAUCUUUAUAUUUUAUUAAUUUUAAUUAUAUAGAUAAAUUAAAUUAUAAUUUAAAUAAAUAUUUUAUUGGGGUGAUAUUAAAAUUUAAUAAACUUUUAAUUUUUAAUGAACAUUAAUUAAUGAAUUAUUGAUCCAUUAAUAUGAUUAUAAAAUUAAGUUACUUUAGGGAUAACAGCGUAAUUUUUUUAGAGAGUUCAUAUUGAUAAAAA